rnacentral:lncRNA from 1 species
CCUUGCCUUAAGAGUAUAUGGAAAAUAAAAAACAUCAGGAAAGAUGUUUUUUGACUCUUCAUUCCUGUUGCCCACAAUUCUGGUAGAUGGCAUUCCCAAAACAUCUUCUCUUCCCAUUGUCAGGUGUAUCACCUGAUGCCCUCUUCAAGCACAGAACAUUCUAACAGCAAUUAGGAAAGAUUUCAUGUAUUUCCUGGAAAUGACAACAGGGAGUUAU